GUAACAAGAGUAUGAAGAGUAUAUUUGUUUUCCACACAAAAGGUUCAAUGUUAAGAUUGUUACU
rnacentral:tRNA from 1 species